rnacentral:rRNA from 1 species
CAUAGGUUAAUGAGGCGAACCGGGGGAACUGAAACAUCUAAGUACCCCGAGGAAAAGAAAUCAACCGAGAUUCCCCCAGUAGCGGCGAGCGAACGGGGAGCAGCCCAGAGCCUGAAUCAGUGUGUGUGUUAGUGGAAGCGUCUGGAAAGGCGCGCGAUACAGGGUGACAGCCCCGUACACAAAAAUGCACAUACUGUGAGCUCGAUGAGUAGGGCGGGACACGUGGUAUCCUGUCUGAAUAUGGGGGGACCAUCCUCCAAGGCUAAAUACUCCUGACUGACCGAUAGUGAACCAGUACCGUGAGGGAAAGGCGAAAAGAACCCCGGCGAGGGGAGUGAAAAAGAACCUGAAACCGUGUACGUACAAGCAGUGGGAGCACGCUUAGGCGUGUGACUGCGUACCUUUUGUAUAAUGGGUCAGCGACUUAUAUUCUGUAGCAAGGUUAACCGAAUAGGGGAGCCGAAGGGAAACCGAGUCUUAACUGGGCGUUAAGUUGCAGGGUAUAGACCCGAAACCCGGUGAUCUAGCCAUGGGCAGGUUGAAGGUUGGGUAACACUAACUGGAGGACCGAACCGACUAAUGUUGAAAAAUUAGCGGAUGACUUGUGGCUGGGGGUGAAAGGCCAAUCAAACCGGGAGAUAGCUGGUUCUCCCCGAAAGCUAUUUAGGUAGCGCCUCGUGAAUUCAUCUCCGGGGGUAGAGCACUGUUUCGGCAAGGGGGUCAUCCCGACUUACCAA